UACAGAGGGUGCGAGCGUUGUUCGGAAUUAUUGGGCGUAAAGGGCGCGUAGGCGGUGCCACAAGUCACUUGUGAAAUCUCCGGGCUUACUCGGAGCCUGCAGGCGAAACUGUGGUGCUGGAGUGUGGGAGAGGCGCGUGGAAUUCCCGGUGUAGCGGUGAAAUUCGUAGAUAUUAGGAAGAACACCAGUGGCGAAGGCGGCUCCACUGGUCCGGUACUGACGGCUGAGGUGGCGAAAGCGUGGGAGCAACAGG
rnacentral:rRNA from 1 species